CCUGCCCAAAGGGAAAGUCCAGGGAUGGUGUUGAAAUUCCGUUCUGAGCUAGAGGGCUGUUUUAACAGAGAAAGGAAUCUAUAAUUGGCAAGAAAGACCAAGCUUAAUGUCAAAGCCGUUUGAUAAGUCUGAGAUCACAGAAUGUCUAGGCCAAGACUUAGUCAGAAUGAAACAUGUUUCUGGAGAACAGGAAGCAAGGCCACAUGCUGAGCAGGAGGAGCCAGCACAGGGUGGAGUAGUGAAGGGCCACUCUGCCGCAGCCGCGUCUCAAUGGUCUAGCUCAACAUGCUUGCUUUUCCUUCAUGGAAACUGAAAUCUCACCUGGCAAUAGAUUUCAAUGUCUGGACACACACGUGACACUUUGAGGAAAGCCACUGAAAACAGCUGCGGCCAAGAAAGUCUUCAGAUCUCAAGGCCACAGCUAAGAUAUAAAGCCAAGGGGAGGAGCCAGCUGCAGGUUCUGUAUUAGAUGGAUCUCCCAGGGGAGGGGCAAAAUAUCUCUCUUACUGAACUCCACAGAGUGUAUUUGCUCUCUAGGUAAAGGUGGGAGGGAAGGGGCCCUAGGAUUGUUUGAGAUGCAAUCUUGAGAGGUUGUGAGAUUACACUCAUUAAAAAAAAUAACUGGCCAGGUGCAGUGGCGCAUGCCUGUAAUCCCAGUACUUCGGGAUACUGAGUUGGAUGGGUUGCGUGAGCCUAGGAGAGAUCAAGGCUGCAAUGAGCCAUGCUCACAUCACUGCACUCCAGCCUGGGUGACAGAGUGAGACCCUGUCUCAAUUAAAAUAAUGAUAAUGAUAAUAAUAACAACCUCAGGUGGAACUUGGAAAUGGUACCAUGAAAGCAAGUAUCUUUGAGUUUCUAAGGUAAACACAAAAUCUGGCCCUGGAACUCCUAGCAAGCCAUGAGAUUGGUAACAUUGAUCCAGGCUCAGACUGAUGUUUGUUAGUAAAA